AAUGUGUAAGGUGCCGGACGAAAAAAUGUCCGGUGAAAAGGGAAACCGGUGAGAAACCGGUACGAACUCGUCACCGUAAUUCGCGAGUUGAGGCUAAUAACCACUGGAAAACCGGGAAGGGAGCCAAAGUGUCAGAGCGAUCAGUCGGGAGACCUGCCUUUCGC
rnacentral:ncRNA from 1 species